GCUGGGCACGGUGGUGCACGCCUGUAAUCCCCGUGGCUCAGGAGGCUGAGGCAGGAGGAUCUCGAGUUCAAAGCCAGCCUCAGCAAGGCCUUAAGUAACUCAGCAAGACCCUGUCUCUA
rnacentral:sRNA from 1 species